GCGCGUAUAGCUCAGCGGGAGAGCGCUUCCCUGACACGGAAGAGGUCACUGGUUCGAUCCCAGUUAUGCGCA
rnacentral:tRNA from 1 species